UUCUAAGUCCGCCGUGGUAACAAAUGAUUGCCUACAGUAACAGCAUUUAACACACUCACACUGUGAUGUUUUUAUUGAAAGAGAGAGAGAGAGAGAGAGAGAGAGAGAGAGAGAGAGAGAGAGACCCUCACGGAUAAGCAACUUAACCACUUCUUCCUAACUAAACACUCCUGUGGAACCCGCACAGCGUUGGAGAUUCAGCAUCACCAAGCCCUCUGAGCCCUCUCUUACCCUCCCCAAGUCCCAAUUACACCAACAAGAGUUGCCGGUUUCCCGACUUCAAACACCGCAGUUUGAUGUUUGAGCUUUUACAGGCAGGCACACAGAGGAGCGAGGACCCCAGGCUGCAGCGGAACUAUAAAAUCCCCGUCUUCAUGCGUGGUCAUGAUGGAAUUGCCACCCGGGACAGACCCUCAGUUUCACUUCGUGUUUCCUGCGUGUCAGGAUGAAGAACUGAACUAGUACGGCGGUCCCCAAAGCGUGAGCGAGUCACGCCAAAUGUUACUGCCUGCCCGGUUCCCCAGCGCCCGCCCUGCCCCCAUUCAGAUGCAUCGGGAGCACCGGGUUGGAAUCACUUCAGAGAAGUCACAGCAGCGAGACCGGCAGCAGCUUGUCACGCCACAUCUCCAAGAGCAGAGAGAAAUGAAUGCCUUCAACUUGGCGAUCAGCAAGCUUUUGCUUAUGCAGACUGGGAUCCCAACCCACUUUCAGGCUGGGUCUUCUCAGUUAAGACCAUCUGGAUGAUUCCCCCACAGGCAUGCCCAUAGGUCAAACUGAUCUAAGUCACCCCUCGGUGUGGUUCUCCCAAGGGAUUUGAGGUCAUGCCAAGUUGACACUUGAAACAGCUAUCACAGUUGGGUUUCUAUGUAGGAGGCACCAGAGAGCUGUGGGCAGUUUUUGAGCAGGAGAAUAAGAGCAUUUCACAUUUACUAAGGUGUCAGGUGUUCCGUGUUACACAGUCCCGUCAAAGGAAGAGCGUCACCCCAGAAUGUCAUUUUAGGCUCUCUGGCAGAAGGGAGGAACAGUUUCUGUGACCUGAACCUUGGACCUCUAUUCAGAAGCAUAUUGAUUAAUUGAUUGAUUGAUAGACAAAGGUUGUGUUUGGGGUACAACAGUUCCUCGUACCAUGAUGGAGGAGGGUUAACUGUCUAUGUGCUACUUUCAUUGGUUAAUAAAGAAACUGCCUUGGCUUUUGAUAGGACAACAGCUUAGAUAGGCGGAGUAGACAGAACAGAAUGCUGGGAGGAAGAAGGCAAUGAGGCAGACGCCAUGCAGCUAGCUGCCAGGCCAGACAUGCAAAAUAUCUCCCAGGCUAAGCGACCAGGAACUAACAAGCAGCCUCCCCCAACAGUACCCAAUAAUUCAAGACCUCCAAGAGUGCCUGGAUUGUCUUGUGACUAAAGUCCCGCAAUGGAUGGAAGAACUCCUCAGAAGAACCACUCUGUAAAUCACAGAAAGCAAUCCCUGUUCUCUGCUAUGAUUUCUUCAAGGUCUAGGUACCGUCAACAAACACGAAUGCCUUCUACUGUUGUCCUAGAUGCAAUGACUCUACUACAUCCCCACCCUCCUAGGAUCAACUGGAAGUACAGAGGGUCAGAAAAACGAAGAUUAGAGCUAGGGAUGGAGAGAUGGCUCAGUGGCUUGGGUGCUUGCCCUGUGUGUGUGAAGACUGAGUUCAGAUCCCUUGAACCCAUACUAAAAACAAAUGGGCAUUUUUAGCCCACCUGUAAUCCAGUCUCCUGGGAGGAGAAGACUUUGCAAGUUGACUUGCUAGACUAGCCCGAAUCGGUGAGCCUAAGGACGAGUGAGAGACCUUGCCUCAAAUAAAUAAAGUAGAGAACAGUUGAAGAAGACACCCAUAGUCAACCUCUGGCCUCCACAUACAGGA